rnacentral:rRNA from 1 species
AUUGAACUCUGGCGGCAGGCCUAACACAUGCAAGUCGAGCGAGCGGCGGACGGGUUCGUACUUUAUGGGGAUCUGCCCGAUAGAGGGGGAUAACUACUGUAAACGGUGGCUAAUGCCGCAUACUAUCAGAUGAGCCCAUAGGGGAUUAGCUAGUCGGUGGGGUAAAGGAUCACCUAGGCGACGAUCUCUAUCUGGUCUGGGAGGAUGAGCAGCCACACGGGGACUGAGAAACGGCCGAGACUCCUACGGGAGGCAGCAGUGGUGAAGAUUGCACAAUGGGCGCAAGCCUGAUGCAGCAAGGCCGCGUGUGUGAAGAAGGCUUUAGGGGUGUAAAGUACUUUCAGCGGGGAGGCGUUAUUCGCAGAAGAAGGACCGGCUAACUCCGUGCCAGCAGCCGCGGUAAUUC